rnacentral:tRNA from 1 species
GCCUCCAUAGCUGAGCGGUUUAGCAACGGACUCUUACUCCGUGGACGUUGGUUCGAUCCCAACUGGGGGCAC